GUCAAAAGCCAUGAAAAGAUUCACGAGGAAUCACAGCAUUAUAUCUGGCAGUCUGUUUUGAUCCUUAAAGGGAAGUCAAAAUGAAUGAUCUGAAUGCCCGAAGGGAUCAAAUGAAUAUUAGAGCAGCUGGAAAUGGUGGAGAUGAUAAAUGUAACUGGAACUGGCCUCUGCUGAUUUCACUGUCUGGCUUAGCAUUGUACCAAUGGUUCACGCACAGGAGAAUAAGAAAUGAAAUGGAUUGCUUGAGGAGAAGCAUUGAGAAAGAUAGAAGGGAGGACAAAGCAAUGGUUGUGAUUCACGAGAUCCGCAGGUUGUUACAUGCUAGACAAGACAUCAUUUGUAGCAAUACUGUCCCAUAUUUUGCUCAGCGGACCAGGGAGCAAGAGUUAUCCAGCAUGGCCUCCAGUGACCCUAUAGCACAUCAACUCAAUAUAAAAGCUGAUCUCCUCAAGAUCUUCCAGCAUCCUGAACCCUGCUCAAGAGCCACAAUAAACACAUGUGUUGAAGACUGGCAGAGAAAACUUAAGGGUUUACUUGAAAAUGAGCAAAAAUAGAUUGCCACACAGUUUUAUAAUAAU